rnacentral:rRNA from 8 species
CCGCUGAACUUAAGCAUAUCAAUAAGCGGAGGAAAAGAAACCAACAGGGAUUGCCCUAGUAACGGCGAGUGAAGCGGCAACAGCUCAAAUUUGAAACCUGGCGCUUGCGUCCGGAUUGUAAUUUGUAGAGGAUGCUUCUGGGCAGCGGCCGUUCUAAGUUCCUUGGAACAGGACGUCAUAGAGGGUGAGAAUCCCGUAUGUGACCGGCGCGCACCCUCCACGUAGCUCCUUCGACGAGUCGAGUUGUUUGGGAAUGCAGCUCUAAAUGGGAGGUAAAUUUCUUCUAAAGCUAAAUAUUGGCCAGAGACCGAUAGCGCACAAGUAGAGUGAUCGAAAGAUGAAAAGCACUUUGGAAAGAGAGUUAAAAAGCACGUGAAAUUGUUGAAAGGGAAGCGCUUCCAACCAGACUCCGCGGCGGUGUUCCGCCGGUCUUCUGACCGGUCCACUCGCCGCCGUGGGGCCAACAUCGUCUGGGGCCGCCGGAUAAGACCGGAGGAAUGUAGCUCAUUGAGUGUUAUAGCCUCCGGUGAUGCGGCGCGUCCCGGGCGAGGUCCGCGCUUCGGCAAGGAUGUUGGCGUAAUGGUUGGCAGCGGCCCGUCUUGAAACACGGACCAAGGAGUCUAACAUCUAUGCGAGUGUUCGGGUGUCAAACCCCUACGCGCAAUGAAAGUGAACGGAGGUGGGAGCUUCGGCGCACCAUCGACCGAUCCUGAUGUCCUCGGAUGGAUUUGAGUAAGAGCAUAGCUGUUGGGACCCGAAAGAUGGUGAACUAUGCCUGAAUAGGGUGAAGCCAGAGGAAACUCUGGUGGAGGCUCGCAGCGGUUCUGACGUGCAAAUCGAUCGUCAAAUUUGGGUAUAGGGGCGAAAGACUAAUCGAACCAUCUAGUAGCUGGUUCCUGCCGA